UACGGAGGGUGCAAGCGUUAUCCGGAUUCACUGGGUUUAAAGGGUGCGUAGGUGGGCAGGUAAGUCAGUGGUGAAAUCUCCGGGCUUAACCCGGAACUGCCGUUGAUACUAUUUGUCUUGAAUAUUGUGGAGGUAAGCGGAAUAUGUCAUGUAGCGGUGAAAUGCUUAGAUAUGACAUAGAACACCAAUUGCGAAGGCAGCUUACUACACAAUGAUUGACACUGAGGCACGAAAGCGUGGGGAUCAAAACAGG
rnacentral:rRNA from 1 species